rnacentral:rRNA from 1 species
GUCAGUGGAGGUAGACGCGAAACCUUGUGAUCUACCCUUGGGCAGGUUGAAAGGUGGGUAAUAUUGUUUGGAGGACCGAACCGGUAAACGUUGAAAAGUUUUCGGAUGACCUGAGGGUAGGGGUGAAAGGCUAAUCAAACUGGGAAAUAGCUCGUACUCCCCGAAAUGCCUUUAGGGGCAGCCUCGAGGUUGAGUAUCAUAGAGGUAGAGCUACCGAUUGGAUUAGGGGGUUUUAUUGUUUAUUAAAUCCUGACGAACUCCGAAUACUAUGAUAUAUACUCGGGAGUGAGGCUGUGGGUGCUAAGGUCCAUGGCCGAGAGGGAAAGAACCCAGACCAUCAGCUAAGGUCCCAAAAUGUAUGUUAAGUUGAUCUAACGUGGUCCGAUUGCAUUGACAGCUAGGAUGUUGGCUUGGAAGCAGCCAUUCAUUUAAAGAGUGCGUAACAGCUCACUAGUCGAGCGAGUCGGGCGUGGAUAA